AAAAUUUCAUGCACAUCAUCAUAACCUCUCAAUACAAACCCAAUAUGUCCAUUGAAAUCCCAUCUAUUAAAAAACAUCUCAGUGCUCGAGGAAGCCACACACCACUUCAUCCAAACCCUCCCGAAAGAUUUUUUUCUCCUCCCAUCCAAUCCUACUUAUGAAGCAUAGGCCCUAAUAACAUUCAAUGUAUACCCUCUAGUGACCAACUUAAUCAACAUUAAACUAUCAUUAGCAUAGUUAACCUCCACCAGCUGCCCCCUAAGCUCUUCAUCUUCAAAUAUACCUACCCUAUUUCUAUGCCUCAUACUACUCAAGUACCACAACUUAUACCUAUCCAUAUCCCUCGC
rnacentral:lncRNA from 1 species